CCCCUCUCAGGGUCGCACCUGGAGAGUUUCCAGUAUUCUACCAGUCUUGGCCUGGGGAGGGAGAGUUCAGCAGAGGUGUACCCAUUCCAUUCCUAGCUUGGGCAGUGGCUAGGAAGUGGAAGGCAAUCUGCUAAAAGU